rnacentral:rRNA from 1 species
UACGGAGGAUGCGAGCGUUAUCCGGAUUCACUGGGUGUAAAGGGAGCGUAGACGGCGAUGCAAGUCUGAAGUGAAAGCCCGGGGCUCAACCCCGGGACUGCUUUGGAAACUGUAUGGCUGGAGUGCUGGAGAGGCAAGCGGAAUUCCUAGUGUAGCGGUGAAAUGCGUAGAUAUUAGGAAGAACACCAGUGGCGAAGGCGGCUUGCUGGACAGUAACUGACGUUGAGGCUCGAAAGCGUGGGUAUCGAACAGG